GAUGAACGCUGGCGGCGUGCCUAAUACAUGCAAGUCGAGCGGAGCGGGGACGGGUGAGUAACACGUGGAGAACUUCCUAUAAGACUGGAUUACCUUCGGGAAACCGGAGCUAACCCGAAUACUUAUAGAUGGAUCCGCGGUGCAUUAGCUAGUUGGUCAGGUAAAGGCUUACCAAGGCAACGAUGUAUAGCCGACCUGAGAGGGGGAUCGGCCACACUGGAACUGAGACACGGGCCAGACUCCUACGGGAGGCAGCAGUAGGGAAUUUUCCGCAAUGGGCGAAAGCCUGAUGGAGCCACGCCGCGUGUAUGAAGAAGGCCUUCGGGUUGUAAAACACUGUUAUUAGGGAAGCGUUACCUAAUCAGAAAGCAACGGCUAACUACGUGCCAGCAGCCGCGGUAAUUC
rnacentral:rRNA from 1 species